GCAGCCUGAUGCAGCGACGCCGCGUGAGGGAUGACGGCCUUCGGGUUGUAAACCUCUUUCAGCAGGGACGAAGCGCAAGUGACGGUACCUGUAGAAGAAGGACCGGCCAACUACGUGCCAGCAGCCGCGGUAAUACGUAGGGUCCGAGCGUUGUCCGGAAUUACUGGGCGUAAAGAGCUCGUAGGUGGUUUGUCGCGUUGUUCGUGAAAACUCACAGCUUAACUGUGGGCGUGCGGGCGAUACGGGCAGACUUGAGUACUGCAGGGGAGACUGGAAUUCCUGGUGUAGCGGUGGAAUGCGCAGAUAUCAGGAGGAACACCGGUGGCGAAGGCGGGUCUCUGGGCAGUAACUGACGCUGAGGAGCGAAAGCGUGGGGAGCGAACAGGAUUAGAUACCCUGGUAGUCCACGCCGUAAACGGUGGGUACUAGGUGUGGGUUUCCUUCCUUGGGAUCCGUGCCGUAGCUAACGCAUUAAGUACCCCGCCUGGGGAGUACGGCCGCAAGGCUAAAACUCAAAGAAAUUGACGGGGGCCCGCACAAGCGGCGGAGCAUGUGGAUUAAUUCGAUGCAACGCGAAGAACCUUACCUGGGUUUGACAUGCACAGGACGUGCCUAGAGAUAGGUAUUCCCUUGUGGCCUG
rnacentral:rRNA from 3 species